AUGCAACUAGUAAGACACACAAAUGCACACGGGUACUCCUUCUCCUCCUAAAUCUGUGCAUACAUCAGAUACUAGUAACUCUAGCACCUGUACCAGCCAGAAUUUCAUUCUGACAUCUGCUUCAACAUUAACACCUGUGCACCAUAUCAAACAUCCUCUUUGACAUCUGUAAACAGAACAACAUUCUUGUUUUAACACCUGUGCACUUCCUUCAACAAUAGAUGUCCUUCAGUUCAGCUACAUACACAACUGCUUCCACAUUCCACAUCAA
rnacentral:lncRNA from 1 species